rnacentral:misc_RNA from 1 species
ACUAAAGAUUUUUCUUUGUAGGCUAAAUGCUUAAACAACUUUGAUUUCAAUGAAGAUGACUAUAAAGCAUUCACGCAAUGAUGAUAACAACUAGGAAAUAUAUUGAAGGCUAAAAUUUCCAUGACAGCAGAACUAAAAAUAUUGACAUGGUUUAACCAUGCAAGUGUCAUUCAGCCUCUGAUCUAAGAAACAACAGUUUCAAUUGCCUUCAUAUUUUGGGUCAGCCAUCACAUAAUGAUAAGCUAUCACCAGGACAAAUAUAAAAAUGCCAAGAAAAUUGGCAAAAAAUCCCAGGUCUUGAUCAUCAAACAUCUUUUUGCUGAUUCGGGGGGGAAAGAAGCCGAAGCAGUGAGUAGAUCUCGAUAACCAGAGAGUAAAGCGUCUCCUCUCUCUCGACGUGGAGGUUUUUGCAGAGGACCCGG